rnacentral:tRNA from 1 species
CGGGGCGUAGCUCAGUUGGUAGAGUGCUAGUUUUGGGAACUAGAUGUCGCAAGUUCGAGUCUUGUCACCCCGA